ACGGGAGGCAGCAGUGGGGAAUAUUGGGCAAUGGGCGAAAGCCUGACCCAGCAACGCCGCGUGAAGGAAGAAGGUCUUCGGAUUGUAAACUUCUUUUAUAAGGGACGAAGAAAGUGACGGUACCUUAUGAAUAAGCCACGGCUAACUACGUGCCAGCAGCCGCUGUAAUACGUAGGUGGCAAGCGUUAUCCGGAUUUACUGGGUGUAAAGGGCGCGUAGGCGGGGAUGCAAGUCAGAUGUGAAAUCCAUGGGCUUAACCCAUGAACUGCAUUUGAAACCGUAUCUCUUGAGUGCUGGAGAGGUAGACGGAAUUCCUUGUGUAGCGGUGAAAUGCGUAGAUAUAAGGAAGAACACCAGUGGCGAAGGCGGUCUACUGGACAGUAACUGACGCUGAGGCGCGAAAGCGUGGGGAGCAAACAGGAUUAGAUACCCUGGUA
rnacentral:rRNA from 1 species